rnacentral:rRNA from 1 species
UACCCUUCUGUGACCUACCUAUCGUUGCUUCGGCGGACUCGCCCCAGCCCGGACGCGGACUGGACCAGCGGCCCGCCGGGGACCUCAAACUCUUGUAUUCCAGCAUCUUCUGAAUACGCCGCAAGGCAAAACAAAUGAAUCAAAACUUUCAACAACGGAUCUCUUGGCUCUGGCAUCGAUGAAGAACGCAGCGAAACGCGAUAAGUAAUGUGAAUUGCAGAAUCCAGUGAAUCAUCGAAUCUUUGAACGCACAUUGCGCCCGCCAGCAUUCUGGCGGGCAUGCCUGUUCGAGCGUCAUUUCAACCCUCGACCUCCCCUUGGGGAGGUCGGCGUUGGGGACCGGCAGCACACCGCCGGCCCUGAAAUGGAGUGGCGGCCCGUCCGCGGCGACCUCUGCGCAGUAAUACAGCUCGCACCGGAACCCCGACGCGGCCACGCCGUAAAACACCCAACUUCUGAACGUUGACCUCGAAUCAGGUAGGACUACCCGCUGAACUUAAGCAUAUCAAUAA